GAGCGGUAUUGUUUCUUCGGAAACUAUAUAGCGGCGCACGGGUGCGGAACACGUGUGCAACCUGCCUUUAUCUGGGGGAUAGCCUUUCGAAAGGAAGAUUAAUACCCCAUAAUAUUUUGAAUGGCAUCAUUUAAAAUUGAAAACUCCGGUGGAUAGAGAUGGGCACGCGCAAGAUUAGAUAGUUGGUAGGGUAACGGCCUACCAAGUCAGUGAUCUUUAGGGGGCCUGAGAGGGUGAUCCCCCACACUGGUACUGAGACACGGACCAGACUCCUACGGGAGGCAGCAGUGAGGAAUAUUGGACAAUGGGUGAGAGCCUGAUCCAGCCAUCCCGCGUGAAGGACGACGGCCCUAUGGGUUGUAAACUUCUUUUGUACAGGGAUAAACCUUUCCACGUGUGGAAAGCUGAAGGUACUGUACGAAUAAGCACCGGCUAACUCCGUG
rnacentral:rRNA from 1 species